ACGGCUCCGGUCAUCAAUUGCUCUUUCUGAUGAGCGAUGCCGUGGCCUCCGCGUCCAGGCCACGGCAUCGCUCAUCAGAUAGAGCAAUUGAUGACCGUGAGGCG
rnacentral:miRNA from 1 species